GAUGAACGCUGGCGGCGUGCCUAAUACAUGCAAGUCGAGCGAACAGACGAGGAGCUUGCUCCUCUGACGUUAGCGGCGGACGGGUGAGUAACACGUGGAUAACCUACCUAUAAGACUGGGAUAACUUCGGGAAACCGGAGCUAAUACCGGAUAAUAUAUUGAACCGCAUGGUUCAAUAGUGAAAGACGGUUUUGCUGUCACUUAUAGAUGGAUCCGCGCCGCAUUAGCUAGUUGGUAAGGUAACGGCUUACCAAGGCAACGAUGCGUAGCCGACCUGAGAGGGUGAUCGGCCACACUGGAAAUGAGACACGGUCAAGACUCCUACGGGAGGCAGCAGUAGGGAAUCUUCCGCAAUGGGCGAAAGCCUGACGGAGCAACGCCGCGUGAGUGAUGAAGGUCUUCGGAUCGUAAAACUCUGUUAUUAGGGAAGAACAAAUGUGUAAGUAACUAUGCACGUCUUGACGGUACCUAAUCAGAAAGCCACGGCUAACUACGUG
rnacentral:rRNA from 1 species